GAUGAACGCUGGCGGUAUGCUUAACACAUGCAAGUCGAACGAACCCUUCGGGGUUAGUGGCGGACGGGUGAGUAACGCGUGAGGAUCUGCCCUUAGGAGGGGCACAACAGUUGGAAACGACUGCUAAUGCCCCAUAUGCCGAGAGGUGAAACAGUUAAUUCUGCCUAGGGAUGAACUCGCGUCUGAUUAGCUAGUUGGUUGGGUAAUGGCCGACCAAGGCGACGAUCAGUAGCUGGUCUAAGAGGAUGAUCAGCCACACUGGGACUGAGACACGGCCCAGACUCCUACGGGAGGGAGCAGUGGGGAAUUUUCCGAAAUGGGCGAAAGCCUGACGGAGCAAUACCGCGUGAGGGAGGAAGGCCUUAGGGUUGUAAACCUCUUUUCUCUGGGAAGAAGAUCUGACGGUACCAGAGGAAUAAGCCUCGGCUAACUCCGUGCCAGCAGCCGCAGUAA
rnacentral:rRNA from 1 species